rnacentral:rRNA from 1 species
AGCGAACGCUGGCGGCAGGCCUAACACAUGCAAGUCGAACGAAGUCUUCGGACUUAGUGGCGGACGGGUGAGUAACACGUGGGAACGUGCCUUUAGGUUCGGAAUAACUCAGGGAAACUUGUGCUAAUACCGAAUGUGCCCUUCGGGGGAAAGAUUUAUCGCCUUUAGAGCGGCCCGCGUCUGAUUAGCUAGUUGGUGAGGUAAAGGCUCACCAAGGCGACGAUCAGUAGCUGGUCUGAGAGGAUGAUCAGCCACAGUGGGACUGAGACACGGCCCAGACUCCUACGGGAGGCAGCAGUGGGGAAUCUUGCGCAAUGGGCGAAAGCCUGACGCAGCCAUGCCGCGUGAAUGAUGAAGGUCUUAGGAUUGUAAAAUUCUUUCACCGGGGACGAUAAUGACGGUACCCGGAGAAGAAGCUCCGGCUAACUUCGUGCCAGCAGCCGCCGUAAAAC